AUGUGAAAUCCCGGGGCUCAACCUGGGAACUCCAUCUGAUACUGGCAAGCUUGAGUCUGGUAGAGGGGGGUAGAAUUCCAGGUGUAGCGGUGAAAUGCGUAGAGAUCUGGAGGAAUACCGGUGGCGAAGGCGGCCCCCUGGACGAAGACUGACGCUCAGGUGCGAAAGCGUGGGGAGCAAACAGGAUUAGAUACCCUGGUAGUCCACGCCGUAAACGAUGUCGACUUGGAGGUUGUGCCCUUGAGGCGUGGCUUCCGGAGCUAACGCGUUAAGUCGACCGCCUGGGGAGUACGGCCGCAAGGUUAAAACUCAAAUGAAUUGACGGGGGCCCGCACAAGCGGUGGAGCAUGUGGUUUAAUUCGAUGCAACGCGAAGAACCUUACCUGGUCUUGACAUCCACGGAAGUUUUCAGAGAUGAGAAUGUGCCUUCGGGAACCGUGAGACAGGUGCUGCAUGGCUGUCGUCAGCUCGUGUUGUGAAAUGUUGGGUUAAGUCCCGCAACGAGCGCAACCCUUAUCCUUUGUUGCCAGCGGUCCGGCCGGGAACUCAAAGGAGACUGCCAGUGAUAAAC
rnacentral:rRNA from 1 species